rnacentral:rRNA from 1 species
UACGUAGGGUGCGAGCGUUAAUCGGAAUUACUGGGCGUAAAGUGUGCGCAGGCGGCCGCGCAAGUCGAGUGUGAAAGCCCCGGGCUUAACUUGGGAAUUGCGCUCGAAACUACGUGGCUGGAGUGUGGCAGAGGAAGGUGGAAUUCCACGUGUAGCGGUGAAAUGCGUAGAGAUGUGGAGGAACACCAAUGGCGAAGACAGCCUUCUGGGCCAACACUGACGCUCAUGCACGAAAGCGUGGGGAGCAAACAGG